rnacentral:misc_RNA from 1 species
UCAGCGGGUAACCUCGUCUGACGUGAAGUCAAGUGAGAAGGAGGGGCAGGAAUGAAAGAGUCCGAGAGGUGUUCACUACUCGGUUUUUUCUUCCGCCGCCACAUUAACUUGCGGGCGUAGGUCCACGGACCAACCCCAUCACCGAGCAUGCUCGAGUGUUUUAAUGACGUUCACGCAGGCGUGCCCGUCGGAAUACCGAGGGGCGCAAUGUGCGUUCAAAGAUUCGAUGAUUCACUGAAUUCUGCAAUUCACAUUACUUAUCGCAUUUCGCUGCGUUCUUCAUCGAUGCGAGAACCA